rnacentral:lncRNA from 1 species
CCAUACAAAUCAAUCAGAGUAUUGUAGGUGGCGGUCAUUCGAGGUUUCUUACAAGUGUUCUCAACUUCUGAAAGACUUAAAAAUCUAGAAGGAUUCCUCCCUCCAGUCCUGAAAAGCUCGGUCAACAAAAACUGCUUCAAACUGAAAGGUUCAGAAUCGUCCGUAGAAUCCAACUCAAGAUUAUCCAAUUCAAUCUUUCCAAUGCACCAAUCCUUAUAGAACCUAUCUGCUCUAUCAUAUUCUCCUGCAUCCUUCAAAACCAAAAGGUUCAGAGUCGUCCAUAGAAUCCAACUCAAGAUCAUCCAGUUCAAUCUUUCCAACACACCAAUCCUUAUAGAACCUACCUGCUCUAUCAUAUUCUCCUGCAUCCUUCAAAACCUUAACAACCGUAUUCAUUGUAACC